GUGCUAGCGUUGGCAGCACAUAUACUAAAACUGGAAAGAUAUAGAGAAGAUUAGCAUGGCCCUGAGCAAGGAUGACAUGCAAAUUCAUAAAGUGUUCCGUAUUUUA
rnacentral:snRNA from 1 species